AGUGAACGCUGGCGGUAGGCCUAACACAUGCAAGUCGAACGGCAGCACAUUAAGAGCUUGCUCUUACGGGUGGCGAGUGGCGGACGGGCGAGGAAUACAUCGGAAUCUACUUUUUCGUGGGGGAUAACGUAGGGAAACUUACGCUAAUACCGCAUACGACCUACGGGUGAAAGCAGGGGAUCUUCGGACCUUGCGCGAUUGAAUGAGCCGAUGUCGGAUUAGCUAGUUGGCGGGGUAAAGGCCCACCAAGGCGACGAUCCGUAGCUGGUCUGAGAGGAUGAUAAGCCACACUGGAACUGAGACACGGUCCAGACGACUACGGGAGGCAGCAGUGGGGAAUAUUGGACAAUGGGCGCAAGCCUGAUCCAGCCAUACCGCGUGGGUGAAGAAGGCCUUCGGGUUGUAAAGCACUUUUGUUGGGAAAGAAAAGCAGCAGGUUAAUACCCCGCUGUUCUGACGGUACCCAAAGAAUAAGCACCGGCUAACUUCGUG
rnacentral:rRNA from 1 species